UUUCAGCGUAGCGGCUGCCCGUGACCCGAGCGGGAGUAGGAGAGGAGGAGCUGGGGCUCUGGCAGAGGAUCGCCGGGAUCACAUGGAAAGCACGUCCUCUCGGAGCGCGGAGUCUCUGGCCUGGGCUCCCCAGCGGAAUUGGGAGGAGUCCGGGGAGAUGGUGCGGAAGGCACCGCGUGAGGCGGGCGACCGAGCAGCGAUCACUCCCCGCUCUGCGCAGUCGAGGGACAGCGUGCUUCAAUACUUGCCUGCAAUCAUCCGACCUGGGCAGUUUCCUAUAACCUCUCUCCGC
rnacentral:SRP_RNA from 1 species